rnacentral:rRNA from 1 species
UCUAGGCCCCGUCAGGAGCCCGAGUUGUAAUUUGGAGAGGACACUUCGGGCUCAGUAACGGCGAGUGAAGCGGCAAAAGCUCAAAUUUGAAAUCUGGCCCCGUCAGGAGCCCGAGUUGUAAUUUGGAGAGGACACUUCGGGUGUGGCCGCGGCGUAAGUCCCUUGGAACAGGGCGUCAUAGAGGGUGAGAAUCCCGUCUUGCGCCGCCGGACCACGCCCAUGCGAAGUUCCUUCGACGAGUCGAGUUGUUUGGGAAUGCAGCUCUAAGUGGGUGGUAAAUUUCAUCUAAAGCUAAAUAUUGGCCAGAGACCGAUAGCGAACAAGUAGAGUGAUCGAAAGGUUAAAAGCACCUUGAAAAGGGAGUUAAAUAGCACGUGAAAUUGUUGAAAGGGAAGCGCUUGCAACCAGACUCGGUCGCGGGGGCUCAGCGGGUAUGCUUGCCCGUGUACUCCCCCGCGUUCGGGCCAGCAUCGGUUCCGGCGGUUGGUCAAAGGCCCCUGGAAUGUGUCGUCCUCCGGGACGUCUUAUAGCCAGGGGCGCAAUGCUGCCAGCCGGGACCGAGGAACGCGCUUCGGCACGGAUGCUGGCAUAAUGGUUGUAAGCGGCCCGUCUUGAAACACCGGGACCA